rnacentral:lncRNA from 1 species
UUUCUUCUGCUUGAAAUGACCUUGGCUGCUUUGUUCACCUGAUGAAAAUGUAUUCAUCCUUCCAGGUCUCUGCACGUGUGCCUCCUCUCUGAAGACUUCUCAGACUUUCAUUUCCAGAAGAAUGAAACACACUUGCAAAGACUAUAUCUGCUAAUACACCCAUCCUUGUUGACUAUUUACGGUUUUACCCAACUCCUGCUUUGGCUUUAUACUGAUAGUCAGCAUGGAGGGGUCCACCCCAAGGCCGUUAGUUCAUCCUCUGCAUUAUGGUACCCUUCCUGCAUCAAGAUGCCUACUAUUGCUAGCGACACGUCUCAGCACAUCAUAGGUACUCUUUGUUUUUUGUUUGUUUUUAAUAAAAUUAGGUUCUCCUUUAAAAAAGCAUUGAGUAAAUAAUUUCCUUGGGAAAAUGAAGCUUCUACAUCAAAAUAUAAUCUUCAAAAAACCACAUGGU